AAAGUCGUAACAAGGUUUCCGUAGGUGAACCUGCGGAAGGAUCAUUAUUGAAUUUUAAUGAAGGGAUUUGGUUGUAGCUGGCUCAUGAAUUUGAGCAUGUGCACACCUCUUCUCUUUCAUCCACACACACCUGUGCACCUGUGAGGCAGAUGGGGAAUUUGCUGAUUGUUUUUUUUUUAAAGAACAAUUGGUGCUGGACCCUCUGUCUACUUUAACCAAUAUAAACUCAAUCUAUUUUAAAAAUGAAUGUAAUGGAUGUAACACAUCUAAUACUAAGUUUCAACAACGGAUCUCUUGGCUCUC
rnacentral:misc_RNA from 1 species